GACGAACGCUGGCGGCGUGCUUAACACAUGUAAGUCGAACGGAAAGGCCCUGCUUUUGUGGGGUGCUCGAGUGGCGAACGGGUGAGUAACACGUGAGUCACCUGCCCUUGACUUUGGGAUAACUUCAGGAAACUGGGGCUAAUACCGGAUAGGAGCUCCUGCUGCAUGGUGGGGGUUGGAAAGUUUCGGCGGUUGGGGAUGGACUCGCGGCUUAUCAGCUAGUUGGUGGGGUAGUGGCUUACCAAGGCUUUGACGGGUAGCCGGCCUGAGAGGGUGACCGGCCACAUUGGGACUGAGAUACGGCCCAGACUCCUACGGGAGGCAGCAGUGGGGAAUAUUGCACAAUGGGCGGAAGCCUGAUGCAGCAACGCCGCGUGCGGGAUGACGGCCUUCGGGUUGUAAACCGCUUUCGCCUGUGACGAAGCGUGAGUGACGGUAAUGGGUAAAGAAGCACCGGCUAACUACGUG
rnacentral:rRNA from 1 species